CUUCUUAGAGCACUAUCCACAAAUGAUACGUUGCUUUGGACCUCUUAUUGCCCUGUGGACGAUGAGAUUUGAGGCUAAACAUAGCUUUUUCAAGCAGGUUGCUCGUCACACUAACUGCUUCAAGAAUAUUUCUCGUUCACUAGCUAUAAAACACCAGUACAUGCUUGCCUAUCGUGCACAUUCAUCCAGUCUUAAAAAGUCAUCCCUAGAGGUCACAGAUGUCUCAAUUAUGCCCGUUGAUGUCCUUAAUGAGGGAGUAGUGUCUGCUCUUAAGAAGUUACACCCAGAUGUUACUGAGGUUCAUGUGGCAAAAAAAGUGUCCUGCAAUGGUCUGCAUUACAGUGAGGGGAUGCUUAUUGUACACGGAUCUGUAGAUGGACUGCCUAAAUUUAAUGAGAUCCUGCAACUGUGCAUUCUUAAGGAGAAACUGUGUUUUGUAGUUAAAGAUCUAUGUGCUUGGUAUUGGGAGCAUUAUGGUGGAUUUGAGCUGUCAUCCCCACCCACUACAGAGGUUUCCCUUGUUGAGCUUGGUGACCUGGUAGAUCCAUAUCCUCUUGUGGCGUACAUGGUUGAGGGUUUGCGCAUGGUAAUGCUAAAAAGAUUCAUCAUUGUCAAAGAUUAAAGGUGUUCCAACAUGGGGAGCCCAGCUGUUCUGCGGAUCAUUUUUGGUGACGAGUCUGACUCUAGAAAACUAACACUCGAUUCUGGAAUUCCAUCAGCAGUGGAGGACCUAUAUUUGUUAGUUAAGACAUUCUUUCAACUCAAAGAGGACUUCAGGUUGCAAUAUAUGGAUGCUGACUUCAACGAGUUUAUUAACUUAACUUCAGUGUCUGAAAUUAAAAACAAAAGCACGCUGAAAGUUAUAUACAUUCCUGUUUUUUCACCUGUGGAGCCCUGCAUCACGCUGUAUACAGUAGACUCAUCUGGUGAGCUCUCAAAUACCUCUUGCUCAAAUUCUGAAACUCCUGCUUCAUCUAUAGACUCAUCCUGCAGGGAUGAUACACCGUUCACAUCAACCCCAGAGUCAUCUCUUGAAACUCAGCUUUCAAAGUUGUCUUCCUGGCCCAAGGUGUUUUUGGUACCCAAAUUCACAUAUGAUGCAGAGUUUGAGCUACAGGACAAGAAUAGAGAGUAUGAGACAAUUGGAACAUACUUUAACCCUGGCCCAAAGUUAAAAGGAGUCAUUCUUGAUGGCCUAGCCCAAGAAAUGUUGAAAUACACAAAAUAUCCAAAAGACUAUCAGUGUGAAGAGGUAGCAGCAGCAUUGAAGAGAGCUCAUCCUUGUUUGGGACAGCUGGGAUCCAAGACAGGAUUUUGGGGAUGGAAACAGUCACUGAAGUAUAAAAUGCAAAACUAUCGAACAAAGCUGGGGCGACUCGGACAUCCUGAAAUACGUGUGAACUCCUUUAAGCACAAACGUGAAGGCCAAGGCAAAGCUGCAGCCAACAUCAAGAAAGCAAGAAAGGCUGAAGUUUACUACAUACCACUGCACCCAAAAGGCGAAACCACAGAAAGCUUGGAGAGUGAGAGAAUCGCUUUGUUGUCAGAAAUAAAAAAACGUGACAAUGAAGUGGUGAUAAAAGCAAAAAUGGAAAAAACCUUCUCCCACAGACGACGAGAGGUCGUUGAACAGAGGCCCAUGAUAGAGGAAUUUAAAAACCGGUGGCCUGCCCUGUUCCAGCAGAGUGAAAUUAAUGAGGAGUUCUUGAGGAUCACUACAAAGCCACUGCUGUCAAAGUUUAUGUCACAACUGGACCACUUUUCACUCAAGCUGAUGCAGAUCUUCAAAAGCAAAGGAGGCGUGAAGGGGCAACGAAUCAAAGAAGUUCUGGCAAAAAUAGAUUUGUCGCGGGGGGUGCUGGAGCCUAUCUCAGCUACGGACGGGCGGACGUACACCCUGGACAAGUCGCCACCUCAUCGCAGGGCCAACACAGAUAGACAGACAACAUUCACACUCACAUUCACACACUAGGGACCAUUUAGUGUUGCCAAUCAAACUAUCCCCAGGUGCAUGUCUUUGGAGGUGGGAGGAAGCCGGAGUACCCGGAGGGAACCCACGCAGUCACGGGGAGGACAUGCAAACUCCACACAGAAAGAUCCAGAGCCUGGGAUUGAACUCACGACUACUCAGGACCUUUGUAUUUGUGACGACAUUGACAUCAGGAGGGAGUGCAUCCUGAGAAGCCUUGUUAUCUACCUCAAUGAAGAUCCAGACACAUUCUUCAAGGAAUAUCUGGCCUCCGCCACUGAGGAUGCAGAAAGGGACAUUGCCCUCACAGUCAUGGGGAUAAACAUCAUCCGUGGAGAUGGCGAUAGGUAGCCAGAGGAUGUGGGAGUUGUUAUCGAAGGCAUCAAAGUCCUAAGCAACGCGGACACCGUCAUCAUGGGGAUUAUAAUGAUGUUUGGGCUCAUUUAUGCGCUUGAUCUAAGCUUUCCAGACAACCUCAAGUACACAUUUCAGUUUUUCCAGAAGAUCCUAAUGAACCUGGAUGGGCAAAAGCUGAACACAAAGAUACAGCAGCUGAAAAUCAAGUUGUUUGCAUGAGAGGUGAACACUUGUUGACAAAGUUCAUCAUCGGAUCUUUAUUUUUGGUUGUAUUUUAUUGCCUUCAUUGUCACCCACUUAAGACAAUAUGACCUACAACAUUUUGAACUUCAGAAUUGGACCUAACUUUACCUCCCCAUUUUAUCUCUGAGUGUGACUACCCUCCACACUUCUCGCAUCCAUUUCUCUCCUCCGUUUCAUCACUCAACCCUGGAUAAAUGGAUUAAGUUCGACUCAAGACUUUGGAAUUUUAUUUUGUAUUUUUUGAAUAACUAGUACUGUUUUCAUGUUUUGUUUUUACUUGCUUACAUUCAAAGGAUAUUUGCUGCUAGCAUCCCAUUAAUAUCAGAUUCCUGAUCUGCGAAUGUUGAGUUUUUCUUAUUUAUUUUUGUUUGUUGCCAAUUUGAUCCAUGUUGUUUCCUUUUAUUUAACUCUAGUACAUUAAGGCUAAUGGCUACAUUAGCACACUUGCGCAGUACUCAAAUGUGUUUUGCAGUUUCCUUUGUGGCGCUGAGUGUUAAUUUUACACCACUUUAGGCUAUUUUGGAGAACCGUUUCUCGUAAAGUUUUCCUUGCGUUAUUUAAGAAAAGUUAAAAGGUGUUUUAUAACUAAGACUGAGUUCUCUUGGCUUUUUAUCAAGUCAAUUUGACAUAUUUGUUAAUAUAAAACUAAGUUAUUGGU